rnacentral:lncRNA from 1 species
CCAGAUCCCGGGCAUGAGCAGCACGGUCCACAUGCAGCACAUCAAGAGGCAUUAUUACGGCAGCCAUCCUUCCAUCAAUCCUUUCGGGAUCAUCCCUCUGGGCCCAGGCGUUGACUUCUCCUCCCCUCACGAUCGGGACAGAUUCGGCUCUUAAGAGUGUCUCAAAAUGAAGCAGGAAGAAGAGCUCAGUUGGCGUCUGGAAGCGCGGCCCGUGAUGGGCUUCACGUCAUCCCAGCUGCACCUGGCGUUGACUUGUCCUCAUCCCAUGAUCAGACUAGAUCUGGCGCUUUGAACAGCGGGGUUGAUUUCUGAAGGUGUGCCCUGUGAUGGGAUUUGUGUGUGUUUUUUUCCUCUAAAUAAUUUCAGUAAUGCGUGUGCUGCACGCAUAUAUUCGGGGUGGGCAUUUACGCGUGGCAGGUUCUCCACCCUUGGAUUAGAUACCUUA